rnacentral:rRNA from 1 species
UGGGGAAUAUUGCACAAUGGGCGCAAGCCUGAUGCAGCCAUGCCGCGUGUGUGAAGAAGGCCUUCGGGUUGUAAAGCACUCUCAGCGGGGAGGAAGGGAGUAAAGUUAAUACCUUUGCUCAUUGACGUUACCCGCAGAAGAAGCACCGGCUAACUCCGUGCCAGCAGCCGCGGUAAUACGGAGGGUGCAAGCGUUAAUCGGAAUUACUGGGCGUAAAGCGCACGCAGGCGGUUUGUUAAGUCAGAUGUGAAAUCCCCGGGCUCAACCUGGGAACUGCAUCUGAUACUGGCAAGCUUGAGUCUCGUAGAGGGGGGUAGAAUUCCAGGUGUAGCGGUGAAAUGCGUAGAGAUCUGGAGGAAUACCGGUGGCGAAGGCGGCCCCCUGGACGAAGACUGACGCUCAGGUGCGAAAGCGUGGGGAGCAAACAGG